UAUCCUGACUCCCUGCCACUGCAAGCCACGAGACUGGGGCAAUCAUCUUUGUCUUAUGCCAUGUCUCUUCAGAUGGAGGGACUGGGAGUGGGGAUGGUAUCUUGGAAGCUGCACUCCAUGGCUAAGGAGCUUGCACCCUCUGCCUCUAAUUCAACUUGAGUCAAGGGCAGGGCUUCUCCGGGGAGCAGAGGAAGGACCUCAGUGGAGGUUGGAAGGUGUGAGGGAAUUGGAGCUCACCUGUCCACAGUCCUGAAGCUGCCUCUAAUGGGAGGGCGUAUGGCCUGGACUCCCAAGGGACAGAAUGUGGCCUCCCCAGGGUAUCUCUGGCUGUUCUGGUAGUUGUUUCAAAACAUUCUCUCUGUUUCUGUUUCUGUCUCUGUCUCUCUGUCUCUCUUCCCUCCUUCUCUCUCUGCUUUCUACAUUUAAGUAGGGUAACCCUCUUAUCAAUGGGAUUCACUUACUCUCUAUGUCAUAGUGUAUAGAGUCAGCCAGACCAAAUAGAUUUAUUUGAUAUGUCUGAUAACUUUCUUAAUGAAAACAAAGUAAAACAAAAGCCAAAAACCAAACCAAAUUAAAUUUAGCUCCAGUAUUAGACAGCUUGUUCUCCAAGACUUAGUACUGUCAUAAU
rnacentral:lncRNA from 1 species